CCGAAAAUUACACACUACGAUGGUUACGACAGCUGAGGCAGGAGCACCGCGUGUUCAACCCACGACGUACCGCGCCAGUUUGUGCUGAAACCAAAAAGUAUUUCUGUUGAUGGCGACUGAAGAUCUCUGCAAGCAACUCGAGGCAGGGAGGAGAAGCACACAGAGGGCAGCUCAUGUAAAAUAGAAAGGUGUCGACCUCAACACAUGGCGCCCGCAGGGGAGCUUAAACACUCGGGCUAAAUGAGGGCCGCAUCAGAGAUUCACUAAAGGGGAACACUCCAAGCCCCUUUCCAUCUCCGUAUCCCCCUGAGCCCCACUGCAACAGCAUGUCUUCCUCAGUUAAUGCUCCGUACGGUUGGACACACUCACUUAAUGCUUGCACACAUGCACCGCUCUUUGAAGUCGCGCAUUCACAGGAACUUGAGUUACUUUCUGUUUUGUUUCGCUGCCGUGCUCAAAUCGUUUGUGCUUUGUCACAGCAGGUUACAUGCUCGUUUUGAAAGGUGUGAAUUAAUAUGAAACAAAGCAGGGCUCCUUUUGUAACACUAAACUGAAUUCACACCUCCGCUAUGGAGUGGAUGUAAAACAGAUGAGAACAAAGGUGGUGGAAUAAAGCAACAUCAUGUUGUGUACAGCGAG